CUUAUACUCCCUCCGUCCCGAAUUACUCGUUGCAGAAAUGGAUAGAAAUUGUUGUAUCUAAAAGUAAAAACACGUCUAGAUACAUCUAUUUCUGCGACAAGUAAUUCCGGACGGAGGGAGUAUUUA
rfam:Hordeum vulgare subsp. vulgare, WGS project CAJW01000000 data, contig: morex_contig_159079